rfam:Oceanicaulis alexandrii HTCC2633 scf_1099451005985 genomic scaffold, whole genome shotgun sequence.
GCGCCGGUAGCUCAGCUGGAUAGAGCACCAGACUACGAAUCUGGGGGUCGGGAGUUCGAAUCUUCCCCGGCGCG